GAGUUUGAUCCUGGCUCAGAUUGAACGCUGGCGGCAGGCCUAACACAUGCAAGUCGAGCGGUAGCACAGAGAGCUUGCUCUCGGGUGACGAGCGGCGGACGGGUGAGUAAUGUCUGGGAAACUGCCUGAUGGAGGGGGAUAACUACUGGAAACGGUAGCUAAUACCGCAUAACGUCGCAAGACCAAAGAGGGGGACCUUCGGGCCUCUUGCCAUCAGAUGUGCCCAGAUGGGAUUAGCUAGUAGGUGGGGUAACGGCUCACCUAGGCGACGAUCCCUAGCUGGUCUGAGAGGAUGACCAGCCACACUGGAACUGAGACACGGUCUAGACUCCUACGGGGGGCAGCAGUGGGGAAUAUUGCACAAUGGGCGCAAGCCUGAUGCAGCCAUGCCGCGUGUAUGAAGAAGGCCUUCGGGUUGUAAAGUACUUUCAGCGGGGAGGAAGGUGUUGUGGUUAAUAACCACAGCAAUUGACGUUACCCGCAGAAGAAGCACCGGCUAACUCCGUGCCAGCAGCCGCGGUAAUACGGAGGGUGCAAGCGUUAAUCGGAAUUACUGGGCGUAAAGCGCACGCAGGCGGUCUGUCAAGUCGGAUGUGAAAUCCCCGGGCUCAACCUGGGAACUGCAUUCGAAACUGGCAGGCUAGAGUCUUGUAGAGGGGGGUAGAAUUCCAGGUGUAGCGGUGAAAUGCGUAGAGAUCUGGAGGAAUACCGGUGGCGAAGGCGGCCCCCUGGACAAAGACUGACGCUCAGGUGCGAAAGCGUGGGGAGCAAACAGGAUUAGAUACCCUGGUAGUCCACGCCGUAAACGAUGUCGACUUGGAGGUUGUGCCCUUGAGGCGUGGCUUCCGGAGCUAACGCGUUAAGUCGACCGCCUGGGGAGUACGGCCGCAAGGUUAAAACUCAAAUGAAUUGACGGGGGCCCGCACAAGCGGUGGAGCAUGUGGUUUAAUUCGAUGCAACGCGAAGAACCUUACCUACUCUUGACAUCCAGAGAACUUUCCAGAGAUGGAUUGGUGCCUUCGGGAACUCUGAGACAGGUGCUGCAUGGCUGUCGUCAGCUCGUGUUGUGAAAUGUUGGGUUAAGUCCCGCAACGAGCGCAACCCUUAUCCUUUGUUGCCAGCGGUCCGGCCGGGAACUCAAAGGAGACUGCCAGUGAUAAACUGGAGGAAGGUGGGGAUGACGUCAAGUCAUCAUGGCCCUUACGAGUAGGGCUACACACGUGCUACAAUGGCGCAUACAAAGAGAAGCGACCUCGCGAGAGCAAGCGGACCUCAUAAAGUGCGUCGUAGUCCGGAUUGGAGUCUGCAACUCGACUCCAUGAAGUCGGAAUCGCUAGUAAUCGUAGAUCAGAAUGCUACGGUGAAUACGUUCCCGGGCCUUGUACACACCGCCCGUCACACCAUGGGAGUGGGUUGCAAAAGAAGUAGGUAGCUUAACCUUCGGGAGGGCGCUUACCACUUUGUGAUUCAUGACUGGGGUGAAGUCGUAACAAGGUAACC
rnacentral:rRNA from 1 species